GAUGAAGAACGCAGCGAAAUGCGAUACUUGGUGUGAAUUGCAGAAUCCCGUGAACCAUCGAGUCUUUGAACGCAAGUUGCGCCCGAAGCCAUUAGGCCGAGGGCACGCCUGCCUGGGCGUCACACAUCGUUGCCCCCCCAUCUACUCCUUCGGGAUUGCGGGGGGCGGAUGAUGGCCUCCCGUGCGCCUCGUCGCGCGGUUGGCAUAAAUGCCAAGUCCUCGGCGACGCACGCCACGACAAUCGGUGGUUGCGAAACCUCGGUUGCCCGUCGUGUGCGGUCGUCGCGCAUCGAGGGCUCGAAAAAAUUGUCGGGCUCCGGCUCGGCUUUCAACGCGACCCCAGGUCAGGCGGGGUUACCCGCUGAAUUUAAGCAUAUCAAUAAGCGGAGGA
rnacentral:misc_RNA from 1 species